rnacentral:rRNA from 1 species
GGGGAAUUUUCCGCAAUGGGCGCAAGCCUGACGGAGCAAGACCGCGUGCGGGACGAAGGCCUGUGGGUCGUAAACCGCUUUUGAUAGGGAAGAAUAACUGACGGUACCUAUCGAAUCAGCCUCGGCUAACUCCGUGCCAGCAGCCGCGGUAAUACGGAGGAGGCAAGCGUUAUCCGGAAUUAUUGGGCGUAAAGCGUCCGCAGGUGGUUAUGUAAGUCUGCUGUCAAAGCCCGGGGCUCAACCCUGGAGAGGCAGUGGAAACUACAUGACUAGAGUGUGGUAGGGGCAGAGGGAAUUCCCAGUGUAGCGGUGAAAUGCGUAGAUAUUGGGAAGAACACCGGUGGCGAAAGCGCUCUGCUGGGCCUGCACUGACACUGAGGGACGAAAGCUAGGGGAGCGAAAGGGAUUAGAUACCCCUGU